rnacentral:tRNA from 1 species
UGCAUCGGCCGGGAAUCGAACCUGGGUCGCCCGCGUGGCAGGCGAGCAUUCUACCACUGAACCACCGAUGG